rnacentral:lncRNA from 1 species
UCUGGAUUUCACAUGACUGGAAAUACAGACAUGCAUCUGUUAUCACAGAUACCUAAAAAAAAUCUAGGGGGUUGGAUUCGAAAAACCAGUAUCUCGUGUGACCACCAUUUGCCUCAUGCUGCGUGACACAUCUCCUCGCAUAGAGUUGAUCAGGUUGUUCAUUGUGGCCUGUGGUCCCACUCCUCUUCAAUGGCUGUGCGAAGUUGCUGGAUAUUGGCGGGAACAGGAACACGCUGUCGUACAUGUCGAUCCAGAGCAUUCCAAACUGCUCAAUGGGUGACAUAUCUGGUGAGUAUGCAGGCCAUGGAAGAACUGGGACAUUUUGAGCUUCCAGGAAUUGUGUACAAAUCCUUGUGAUAUGGGGCCAUGCAUUGUCAUGCUGAAACAUGAGGUGAUGGCAGCGAAUUAAUGGCACGACAGUGGGCCUCAGGAUCUCGUCACGGUAUCUUAAAUAGCCACAAGCCAUACACACUGUCUGCCGUCUGCCCGGUACAGUUCAAUCCGGAAUUCAUCCAUGAAGAGCACACCUCUCCGGCGUGCCAGUGGCCAUUGAAGGUGGGCAUUUUCCUACUUAAGUCGUUAAUGAUGCCAAAAUGCAGUCGGGUCAAGACCCUAGUGAAGAUGACGAGCACGCUGCUGAGCUUUCCUGAGAUGUUUUCUGACAGUUCGUACAGAUUUUUUUGUGCAAACCCAGUUUCAUUAGCUGUCCGGGUGGCUGAUUUCAGACGAUCAGCUUCUUGAUAAUCCAUCCAUCUGACAGGUGUGGCAUAUCUUGGCAAAGGUGAAAUUCUCACCAACAUGGAUGUAAAUUCGUGCACAAAACUUUAGAGAAAUAAGCUUUUUGUGUGUAUGGAACAUUUCUGGUAUCUUUUAUUUCAGCUCAUGAAACAUGGGACCAACACUUUACAUGUUGUGUUUAUAUUUUUGUUAAGUAUACUAUUGUGAACACUUUGGUCAAACUUCUUCGUUCCCCUGCCUGUUUUUUGAUGCACUGGUGACAAAGUAUGCAAAAGUUCACUGCAAAUAGGCUGUGGUUUUGGUAUAAUUUGGCUGAGUAGGCUUGUGCACAUUUACAUUACUGUUUCAAUUAGUUAACUAAGUUAUUGAUUUAUUCAUGUUUUUGGUGGUGUUGCAUUUCAGAUGAAGAGGGAGGAUCACUAGAAAGCAGCAUGCAGACUGAUCAGGGCCCGUAUUCACAAAGCAUCUCAGGGUAGGAGUACUGAUUUUAGAAUCAGUUUUGCCUUUUAUGGAAGGGGAGCUGGUCCUAGAUCACUGUUCCUACUCUGAAGACACUUUGUGAAUACAGGCCCGAGAAGAAAGCUGUUGCCCAAUACCUUGCACAACAGUCUUUCACCAUAGGACCCCAGAGGCCACUGCAUGCUGUGACAUGGGCUUGGAUGGUGACACAUCUUCAAGCUUCCUGACUGAAUAUUGGGGUCUUCAGUGGUUCUGGAAGCAAGGGCCUUACCUGGGAGUACAGCAACAGUCUCUCUGUCUCGCAGCCAUUCUGUCAACAUGUAUAGUACAGAACCCACUCAAACUCAUAGAAACUGCUACGGACUCAAGCACUGAUUUAUAUUUACUUUGUCCCAUUCUUUAAUCUUGUUUGAGAUAUAUAUUUUAGUUGAGACACCUGUAUGAGAGAUUAUUAAAAAUGUAUUCACUUUAAAUCAUAAGCUCUAAGUGUAUUUGUCUUGAUGUUUAACUUAUCACAUGAGUUAGUAAAAAUUGAAGACCAACAUGC